CACCUGCUGCGUGCGCCAUAUGUGAUUUGGUCACUGUCGAAAUAAAUAAAUAUUUACAAUUCAUUCUUUUUUUUCCUUUAUUAUUACCAACUAAAUAAAUAAAUAUUUACAUAUAUUUCUCCAAAUUGACCGUUUUGCCAUUUCUACCAAACAGGCUCCGACUCUUAACCGCGUCGCAACACCGAGUCACCACCACUCAACUCGUCAACGGACUCUUCUUCUUCGACUAUAACGGCGUCAGCAUCCCACCACGUAUCCACAUCGGAUUCCGUCGCAUUUCCUAAAGGUGAGCUGACUUUUCUCAUGUCACCCACCGUUAACCUCCCCGUUAUGUCAUCCCUGACGUAAACCUUCUCCCCGCCGCCAGCACUUCUUCCUACAAAUUUUCCCAACCUCGGCUUCCACUCUGCGAGUAUUUCUGGUAUCCGACUCCCGACCCGCGUGUCCCACACCCUCAGCAAGUGUCCGGACACGGUUGUUUCCGCGGAUACGAUCACUGCCGGCGAUGAAGAAGACGUGGAAAAGGCCGGAAUCUCGCUUUUCUCGCCGAAAAUGGAAAAUACAUUGACCUCUUUAUUCAUAUCGCAAACAGAAAUGCAAUUUCUUGACUGGUUAUCAAGGUUUAAUCCAAAUCCGAACCCUAAGUUAUCCCAGAGCUUCACCACGUUCUUCCCAUUUGAGAACUCAGACCAUGAUGAAAACAGGUCUUCAAGGCUGCUGUUUCUACGUCUCCUCAAGUUACGAUUGUGCCACUGGUCAUCGGUGUAAUGACCGGAGCCCCUGACACUAAAAUCAUCAUCAAUAUACCUCCAGCCCUGUGAAGACGACGAUCCAGGUUCGUAUUCUUCUUCUUCUUCGUCGUAGUCGUCGUCUUCCGAUACCGACGAACAAGACGUGUCUGUUUCGCUGCUGUAGUCAAAAUCUUCAUCAGCACUCAAAGGAGGAGGUUGGGAAGGGAUUAAAUAAUGGUUUUGAAUUCGAAUGAUGAGAAUCUUAAUUCUAUUGAUUAUGGUGGAAAAAGAAGCGACUAGGGCAACAAUCAAAGCUCCCCAUUUACAAAAACUGUAAGCCUGGUGAAUCUUUUCGACCCUAGAUAAAGCAAAAACCUGAGAAGGAAAAGAUGGGUUUUGUAGGGAGGUUAUGCCAGCUUCGAAAUCGCCAAUUCUGUUGAUCACUGGGAUCUCCAUAUUAAUACAAGAAAAACAAACUCAAAGCUCAAACCAGAGACAAAACGUAUAAGCCUGCAGAGAAUAGGCAAGAUGUGGAUUUGUAAUGCAAUUAAAAUUCUAGAGCGAAC
rnacentral:misc_RNA from 1 species